ACUUUUCUAAAAAAACCGGAGAGCUUUCAGACUCUCUCUCUCGCAGCCUUCCAAUCCGGCCAAUAGGGCUGUCAUCGGCGCCGGCGACCGCCGCUGCCGUGUACGGCAGUAGGACACCCAAAGUUCGUCGCUUUUCGGUGAUUCCAGAGGUACACCUCUUUUUCUUCUUUUAUUUUUGUGUUAAAAAACAUAAUAAAAUAAAAAAAUAAAAAAACAAUCGGGGAAGACUCUAAAAAACAACUCCGAAAUUUUCAUUUUCUGUUUUCUUUUUUUCUUUUUGUUUUUUAAAAAUAUAAAAAAAUAACAAUGAAAAUAAAGAAAAAGGAAAGAUUGAAAUAAAAAACUAGGAAAUCACCUUAGUUUUUGCUUUUUUAUUUCUUAGUGUUCGUAAAAAGGAAGAAGAGUUAAACAAGCAUCUGAUUUUGGCUUUAUAGCCGAAAUACAAAACUAUUUUUCUCUAUAUUUUUCAUUGGCCAUUUUCUUUUCUGCCAUUUUGUCUUCUCUUUUUUGUUGUCUUCUUCUUGCGUGUUACAGAUGGUAGCAGACACGUGGGUAGCAGCGCUUGGCGAGCGGCGGCGGUGGCCAGGGGACGUGCAUGAGGCUGGCAGAGGCGGACCUAGCAUGUACCCAAAAUUAAUGGAGUAAUACCAUCAGUUGAUGAAGAGACAUCUGACCAUCAAAGGCUGCAUGAUAGGUUUGGCUUGAAUUUUUCCUUUAUAUAGCUAAUGGCAUCUUGGUCUAUUUUUUUAUUCUGUUACUUUGUGGCAAUUAACUUUAUCACCCUAGUUCUCCACUGGUUGUUGUUAGGGGGGCUUUGCACCUUAUUCCUUUUUUCUUUUUCAAAGUACAGUGAUAAAUUACUUGAUUCGGAGUUUUUUCUUGUAAAUUUGUAAAAUAUUUGAACUCUUGUAUUGGGAUCCAUUUUGGUAAAGUAGUUGCUCUUUUUUCCCUGGGAUCCAUUUUGGUAAAGUAAUUGCUGUUUUUUUCCCUUUUCUCAACCGUUUUUCAACGGUAUCUUUAGCCAAAAUAUUAUCUAAUUGAGUUGUUUUACCAAAAUGUAUCUCCACUUCUCCCUUUUCUUAAAAGAAAUACUUUUGCAGUAAUGUUAUUUGGUUAUAUUCUUCCUUCUUGUGAAUGUUUGAUUUUAAUAGCAUUUUAAAUUUAGGACUAAUUAUUUUAUCAUUCAGGUUGCAGUUGUAUGGUCUGGUUGAGAAUAAGGUUCAAGGUGAUGGUAACUGUCAGGUUGAUUUUUACUUUAUUUCUCUAAUAAAAAGAUACGUCAUAUGCACAAGCAUUUUUCUUCUGAAUUUGUGAGAUAUAGAUACUAACACAUUGGUUGGAAGCCGCAUUAAUUAGGCAUAAACACAUUGGACGAAGGUACUAUUGAAAAAGUUUUGUGCUAAUACCAUGAAUGUGUUGAGACACUUUACUGUUUAUAAUCUUCAUGGUAGUUCUAUAGUGUCUACAUAGUAUUAUUUCAGGAUGGUGGAAAUCAUGUCUUCUAGCAAUCACUUUACUGUUCACAAGUUAGUGGACAGUAUUCAAAUGCCAACAGUUUGACCCUGAAUUUGUACAGACUUCUAAAAUAAUGAAAAUGGGGAAACAUCAUUUUCGUUUGUCUUCCUCUGAUUCUAAAAUAAUGGGAAUGGGGAAGCAUCAUUUUAGGAAGAAUGUGAUGGGGAGAGUGAAGGCAAUGGGAGGCUUGAAGGUAACCAACUUGGCAUUUGGUGGAAACAAGAUGCUUGUAACCCGAAAGGAUCAGCAAGUUGUUGAGGUUUGACAAGGUUCAACCAGAGGGUUUUGAUCCUUUGGCUAGCUGUUGUAAUUAUAGGACUGUGUUGUAUCUUGUAAUUGUUUUAUGGCUAUUGAUUUGAUUCUUGGUGAUCGAAUUCAUUAUAUCAAACAACAGAUUUUUUAAUUAAAUAUUGAAUUAUUAACAAGAA